rnacentral:rRNA from 1 species
UACGGAGGGUGCAAGCGUUAUCCGGAUUCACUGGGUUUAAAGGGUGCGUAGGCGGGCAGGUAAGUCAGUAGUGAAAUCUCCGGGCUUAACCCGGAAACUGCCGUUGAUACUAUCUGUCUUGAAUAUCGUGGAGGUAAGCGGAAUAUGUCAUGUAGCGGUGAAAUGCUUAGAUAUGACAUAGAACACCAAUUGCGAAGGCAGCUCACUACGCGAAUAUUGACACUGAGGCACGAAAGCGUGGGGAUCAAACAGG